GUGGGGAAUUUUGGACAAUGGGCGAAAGCCUGAUCCAGCAAUGCCGCGUGUGUGAAGAAGGCCUUCGGGUUGUAAAGCACUUUUGGCAGGGAAGAAACAGUGCGUGCUAAUACCAUGCGCGAAUGACGGUACCUGCAGAAUAAGCACCGGCUAACUACGUGCCAGCAGCCGCGGUAAUACGUAGGGUGCAAGCGUUAAUCGGAAUUACUGGGCGUAAAGCGUGCGCAGGCGGCUUUGUAAGACGGAUGUGAAAGCCCCGGGCUCAACCUGGGAAGUGCAUUCGUGACUGCAAGGCUAGAGUGUGUCAGAGGGAGGUGGAAUUCCGCGUGUAGCAGUGAAAUGCGUAGAGAUGCGGAGGAACACCGAUGGCGAAGGCAGCCUCCUGGGAUAACACUGACGCACAGGCACGAAAGCGUGGGGAGCAAACAGGAUUAGAAACCCCAGUAGUCC
rnacentral:rRNA from 1 species